rnacentral:rRNA from 1 species
UACGGAGGAGGCAAGCGUUAUCCGGAAUUAUUGGGCGUAAAGCGUCCGUAGGUGGUUGGCCAAGUCUGCUGUCAAAGGCUGGGGCCUAACCUCAUAAAGGCAGUGGAAACUGGCGAGCUAGAGUGCGGUAGGGGUAGGGGGAAUUCCCAGUGUAGCGGUGAAAUGCGUAGAGAUUGGGAAGAACAUCGGUGGCGAAAGCGGCCUGCUGGGCCUGCACUGACACUGAGGGACGAAAGCUAGGGGAGCGAAAGGG